rnacentral:tRNA from 1 species
UCCGCAAUAGCUCAGUUGGUUAGAGCAUCUGACUGUUAAUCAGAGGGUCAUAAGUUCAAGUCUUAUUUGCGGAG